rnacentral:rRNA from 1 species
UACAGAGGUCUCAAGCGUUGUUCGGAUUCAUUGGGCGUAAAGGGCGCGUAGGCUGCGGGGUAAGUCGGGUGUGAAAUCUCAGAGCUCAACUCUGAAACUGCACUCGAUACUGCUUUGCUUGAGGACUGGAGAGGAGAUUGGAAUUCACGGUGUAGCAGUGAAAUGCGUAGAUAUCGUGAGGAAGACCAGUGGCGAAGGCGGAUCUCUGGGCCGAUACUGACGCUGAGGAGCGAAAGCGUGGGGAGCGAACAGG